GGAAUUUUGGACAAUGGGGGCAACCCUGAUCCAGCCAUGCCGCGUGAGUGAAGAAGGCCUUCGGGUUGUAAAGCUCUUUCGGCCGGGAAGAAAUCGCAUGGGUUAAUACCCUGUGCGGAUGACGGUACCGGCAUAAGAAGCACCGGCUAACUACGUGCCAGCAGCCGCGGUAAUACGUAGGGUGCGAGCGUUAAUCGGAAUUACUGGGCGUAAAGCGUGCGCAGGCGGUUUUGUAAGACAGGCGUGAAAUCCCCGGGCUCAACCUGGGAACUGCGCUUGUGACUGCAAGGCUAGAGUAUGGCAGAGGGGGGUGGAAUUCCACGUGUAGCAGUGAAAUGCGUAGAGAUGUGGAGGAACACCAAUGGCGAAGGCAGCCCCCUGGGCCAAUACUGACGCUCAUGCACGAAAGCGUGGGUAGCAAACAGGAUUAGA
rnacentral:rRNA from 1 species